rnacentral:piRNA from 1 species
UGAUUGACGCCUUAAAUCCAAGGGGUUGCC